UAGGACUGUUUGGGUGCCCUGCAGUGCUGUGACAGCAGCUGGAAGGAGCUCCUGGCUGCGGCCAGCUGGAGGACGAGGGGAGGCUGAGUGCGUGGUGGAAGAGGCCAGCGCCGUUGAACAGUUGGUUUGCUUCCCGAGCACGGUUUCAACGGGCAAUCCGCCCUGACUGUGCCGCUCGUGCUGCCUCUUGUAAGCCGUGGAGCUGCUUGUGCUGGAGAGCCUGGGCAGGCCCCUGCUGAGCGUGCCACAGGCCGCUGAAGGAAGGAAGUGGCAUACUGGGGAGUUCAGUGGUGUUGACAACCCUGACGGUUCCCAAGCACCUCGUGGGAGGCCGAGGAGGAGUGGGAAGCAGAGCUGAGCAUCACUGCCCUGCAGCCCUGCCUGGCUGCUGCCAGCAUUACCCCUGCCUGCCCUCCAGCUGCACGGCGCAAAGCCCAUGCAGAACUGCCAUGGCAGGUCCCAGCCCUGUGCUGCCCAGAUAAGAGCAGUGAGACAGAAGCCGCUUUAGUAACUGCAGGACUCGUGCGACUGCACUUCAGCUGCUCUGUAACCAGAGAAUAGAGCAGACAGCACUUUGGAAAUGAAUUGAAACUGCAUAGAAUAGGGGAAGAAAAUCAGAUCCGAGGCCUGCUGAGGUCUGAGGCUCCUUCAAGAACUGAGGAGGCAACACAAAACCCCAAGACACUGGUUUUCAGUACAUGAGCUGAAGCUUCUGGCUGCUGCAGAAGAGUUUUCCUCUAUGUUUCUCAUGAAACUGCCAUAAAGCAUUUGCAAUGCCUUGACGUUCUGCCAUCCGAGGGGGAAUUAAUCGCCGGGAUGGCAUGAAGAGCACAGCACAGAAAGCAGGCAUGGUCCAGACCUCAAGGGACUAAUUAUGUUCUUAAAGGGACACUACCUGCCUGCCAUGCAGGUCAUGCCUGCUGUGCUGGCUGUGCCUUGGAAGCAGCGUGCUGCCCACAGCAACUCCCCGCUGGGCUGGCAGGAUGGCGGCUGCCCAGGAGACCAGAGGGUGACCUGAGAGGAUGCCAAGGCCCUGUUUGCAUCUCCUCGUCCUGCAGCCAGUGCCCUGACGGCGUGGUAGUGACCGGUUCUGCUGACGGUAACGAGACUUCCGCCACCAAACACCUCAGCUGGCUUUGGAAGCACCUCCACACCGAAGGACUGAAUUCCUAAACUUGUUUAGUGACAGAAACUGCUCUGGAAAAGCCUGCGAAAGCUUUCAUUUCGUGCUAGAUUUAGAAUAACUUGUGUAAAGGGCAGCAAGCAAACGGAUCCAAACCUCCUGGAUUACGACACUGUCUUAAGAACUGCCGGUUGGUUGAUGUUUUCUAUUCUGAUUUGAAGGUAUGUCUCUGAUCUCAUCUUUCAUAUGUACAAUGGUGUUAUCAUAACAAUACAGAACAUACUCAAAACAAUUCAUUGUCAUUGCAAAAAUGGAAUUUCUCAUAGAGCUAAACUCUUCCUUGUAGCUGAUCACAGUGCCAUUGCUUUCACCCUCUCUUUUACAUUGUAUCUGAAGUAUGUAAUAUGUAAACUCCUUUGGUUCAAGUAUUAAGGCAUUUUAGAUUCCUUUUUAAAGGAUUUGCUAAACUUUACACGAUAUUUUUACUUCAACCUACAGUGAAAUAUAAAGAAUUUAAAAACACGUCAGAAGAAAAACAUGCAUUAACCACUGCAUUUUUUUAAAAAAAGCACUUUUCUGUAAUAACUGAUUCCUUUUUUUUUUUUUUUUCCAGCAAAUGAAAAUGCAUCAUCACAACACUGAAUUAAGAGUCAAGUAAAAUAUUGUCGGUAAGAAGCUGGAUAGACUGAAUGUAUUCAAGACUGGUGGACCAGAACCUCUUGCAUCCAUACCUGUGACAAAUGAAAAAGGAGCUACAUCUAAAGGUCAAGUCCUCUCUACUCAAGUAUGAUCAGACGAGGGAUUUAAGAGCAACAACAGCCUCUCUGCUGGUCCGUAGGCCUGAUGAGCCCAAAGAACCCCUAGUGCCGUUGGACCGCCUAAGGACAAGGAUGUGAUCCAGCGGAGUUAUAUUCCAAAGAAUAUAUGUAUCCAGCGCAUUUCCCUGGCAGAGCUUCACAAAAUUGACAAUCAGGUAUGUAUCAUGUGGGAUACGGCUCUACACUGAUCAUCAAGAACAUCCUCAGCAAUUCUCUAAUUCCAGUUGGAACAAUAGUGGGCCAAGCAACUUCUUGUUGUUGUUGAUCAUUAACAACCCAGGAGUAGCAUGCUUUUGGCUGUACACUUCAAUACAUCUUGAAACUGCCAAGCUGUCAUGAAAGGUGAAGGGAAUGGCUGUCCAGGAGACUUCGAUGGCUGAGGAGGACAGGCUAGUCGCUGAUACACCAGAAGGGGCUACAGUAGGCUCUGUAAUGGGAAAUCAAAACACAAGAGAUCAGCAACAUUGACUCCAACUUUGACUUCAUAUGGUGAAAAGGGCAAGAUGCUUUCGUUCCUAAAGACGUAUCUGGGUGUGUCAGGAGAGGGAUGGGCUGUGAGAAAAGAAAACAAUGACAGAAGUCUGGUCUGUGACAUUACAUACAGCACUGGAAAAGCUUUGCAGGAGGAAAGCGCCACCAUGCUAAUGCCCAAGGUUGUAAACAGGUUCUGGUACUACAUCUGGGAUCAUUCCAUCAACAAAUUGACUCUGGUACGGUAGAGUGAAAUGCUUUCUUUUGAACCUAUUUUAAGGCUUGCCCUUCAAGAGAAGUUCAUACUUCUCAGGUAUACUCCUUGUUUUCCACUAAGUGCUUAGUUUUAAGGCACCAUUGAGUAAACGCUUAUUUUCAAUUUCUAGUCAAAAUUCAUAGUUCAAAAAUAUUAAUUGCUUAGUCAAUUGUUGGAGAAUCCAAUACUACCUUUGUACAGUGGCUUAUACCUUCCCCCAAUGUGAUUAUGAUUAAGUAACCACAAGGAGUCAUCAAUAUUAGUACGUAAUAGUAUGUUAACAUUUUUUAACUCAUUAGAAAUGGGAUACAUAACUUAAAGUAGUAUCUGAUUCUUUGUAUGGGUUAGCACAUGCAUUCACAGUUAAUGGUAACAAAGUACAGACUGUAAAGUUGCACUGACCAGCACAACGCUUUGGCUCCACCUUUGAGCAACGCCCAUUUCCCAGCCCAACAAUUGUUUGAGAACAGAAGCAAUCACCUUAGACAAACUAAAUUUCUUACUGAUCGCAGUCUAGCACAGUAGCAAGCAAAGGAGGGAAGGCAAACGUGCAUAGCUCACAUAGCAGAAUGUUACCAAGCACAUAUACAUCCCAGAUGAGAAGCUGCUGCAGCCAAGAAAACUCAUCUUUUAAGAACAGUUUGAAUGAAAACAACCAUUCUGUGAAGAAAAUUGCUUGCCAGAAAACUUACAUCCCAUGUUAUGACCAGUUCAGACCUGCUGCCGCCACCCCCACUGACUUCAGAGGGGGGAAUAUCAGGAACUGUGAAAAAGAAAUGUACAGCUGUCUGUGCAGUAUAGAUAGACAAGGUGACAUCAUAUAAUGUUAACCUCAUUCUUUGAAGCUAACCCAGCACUUUUCCUAUUUCUUUUGCAAAUCAAGGCAAGUGCUUUUGAACCAGCGUGAGCAGUCCUGGAAAGGCCCAGCUCCUUCAGUCAGCUGGCUUUUUACCUCCUUGGGGCAGACAGAUAUUUUUCUCAGCGUUUGUAGAACCUCACAUGUUAUAUGCCGUAUCUGCUUUAAUGUUUAUGAACUUCCAGAAGCCAGUGGCAUACUUCAGGUUUUCAACAGGGUUAACUCAUGCAGAUGUAUCAGGCAAUGGCCUUAUUCCAAAUACCACUGGGGGUUUUAAUUGAUGUGUUCUGAGCUACAUGCUUAUUACAUGAAAGGUAUACACUGACCAAACACCAGGAAGGGGAAAAAAAAAUAGUCAAAAUUCACCUCUUCCUAUCCAUUAACAUUUUUAUACUCUGCAGCACUAACUGAACAGACAGCUUUUGGCAUACUAAAUACAGUUGAAAUUUAUUUAAAUGUUAUGUGUAAUGCAACACAAACUGUCCCACAGCUAAAUGGAAAAAUCAUCAACAAACUAGUUAUAGACUUUUAUAUUUGAUGGCAACGCCAAGCCUGUUUGCAGUGAGCCAAGGAUAUGACUUUUUUUUGAACAUAUCUAUGAUUCUUGAAUUAAAAACAAAUAAAAG